GACGAACGCUGGCGGCGUGCUUAACACAUGCAAGUCGAACGGAAAGGCCCUGCUUUUGUGGGGUGCUCGAGUGGCGAACGGGUGAGUAACACGUGAGUAACCUGCCCUUGACUUUGGGAUAACUUCAGGAAACUGGGGCUAAUACCGGAUAGGAGCUCCUGCUGCAUGGUGGGGGUUGGAAAGUUUCGGCGGUUGGGGAUGGACUCGCGGCUUAUCGGCUUGUUGGUGGGGUAGUGGCUUACCAAGGCUUUGACGGGUAGCCGGCCUGAGAGGGUGACCGGACACAUUGGGACUGAGAUAAGGCCCAGACUCCUACGGGAGGCAGCAGUGGGGAAUAUUGCACAAUGGGCGGAAGCCUGAUGCAGCAACGCCGCGUGCGGGAUGAUGGCCUUCGGGUUGUAAACCGCUUUCGCCUGUGACGAAGCGUGAGUGACGGUAAUGGGUAAAGAAGCACCGGCUAACUACGUG
rnacentral:rRNA from 1 species